rnacentral:rRNA from 1 species
GACGAACGCUGGCGGCGUGCUUAACACAUGCAAGUCGAACGAAGUGUCGCACGGGUGAGUAAUACGUGGGUAACCCGCCCUCCUUUUUGGGAUACGCCUUGGAGACGGGGUCUAAUACCCCAUAACGGGGGAUGGGCUCGCGGCCUAUCAGCUUGUUGGUGGGGGGAUGGCCUACAAAGGCGGUGACGGGUAGCCGGACUGAGAGGUUGAUCGGCCGGACUGGGACGGAGACACGGCGCGGGCUAGUACGGGAAGCAGCAGAGGGGAAGAUUGGGCAAUGGGCGCAAGCCGGACCCAGCAACGCCGCGGGAAGGAAGACGGUCUUCGGAGUGUAAACUUCUUUAGAAAGGGACGCGGUACCUGUAGAAUAAGCCACGGCUAACUACGUGCCAGCAGCCGCGGUAAUAC